UACGGAGGAUCCAAGCGUUAUCCGGAUUUAUUGGGUUUAAAGGGUGCGUAGGCGGAUUGAUAAGUUAGAGGUGAAAUGUCCGAGCUUAACUCGGGAACUGCCUCUAAUACUGUUGAUCUAGAGGGUAGAUGCGGUAGGCGGAAUGUAUGGUGUAGCGGUGAAAUGCUUAGAGAUCAUACAGAACACCGAUUGCGAAGGCAGCUUACCAAUCUAUAUCUGACGUUGAGGCACGAAAGCGUGGGGAGCAAACAGG
rnacentral:rRNA from 1 species